GACGAACGCUGGCGGCGUGCCUAAUACAUGCAAGUCGAGCGGACGAAUCGAAAGCUUGCUUUUGAUUCGUUAGCGGCGGACGGGUGAGUAACACGUGGGCAACCUGCCCUGUAGACGGGGAUAACACCGAGAAAUCGGUGCUAAUACCGGAUAACACGAAAUGUCGCAUGACGUUUCGUUGAAAGACGGCGCAAGCUGUCGCUACAGGAUGGGCCCGCGGCGCAUUAGCUAGUUGGUGAGGUAACGGCUCACCAAGGCGACGAUGCGUAGCCGACCUGAGAGGGUGAUCGGCCACACGGGGACUGAGACACGGCCCGGACUCCUACGGGAGGCAGCAGUAGGGAAUCUUCCGCAAUGGACGAAAGUCUGACGGAGCAACGCCGCGUGAGCGAAGAAGGCCUUCGGGUCGUAAAGCUCUGUUGUUAGGGAAGAACAAGUAACGCAGUAACUGGCGUUACCGUGACGGUACCUAACGAGAAAGCCACGGCUAACUACGUG
rnacentral:rRNA from 1 species